UAUACCUCUUGGAGGGCGCAAAGUAAUAGGGAAGUUGAUUAUGCUUGCCAGACCCGAAAUAAAUUUAAGAAUGGAGAAGAACAUAUAUUUUACAAUUGUAACAGGAGCGACAUCAGAGGAUUCAAUAGCUCAUGUAAAAUUAGAAGUGUUAAGUCUGGGGGAAGCAUACGCAUUCAAGGAACAUGCCCCUCAAGGAUUUUAGUCAAGGUUUUAAAGAAUGGAUCAAUUGAUGUGACAUUUUUUGAAACACAUGUAGGACAUGUAGACGAGUUAAGAACCAAAAGGUUAUCUAAGGCUGAAGAAAAUAUCAUUGUUGGGAAAUUGACUGCAGGUGUAACAAAUGAACAAAUAAUUUAAGAUGCUAAAAAAACUCAGAAUGACACAAUAGAAAGGCUAAACUUGCUAACAAGAGGUGACCUGGCAUAUUUGAUAAGGAAAUAUAACAUUGACCAAAAAAAAGAUGGUGAUAAUAUGGUAGCCAAUGCUUUGAAAAUUAAUGAAUGGAAUAG